rnacentral:rRNA from 1 species
GACGAACCGUGCGAACGUUGUUCGGAAUCACUGGGCUUAAAGGGCGCGUAGGCGGGCAGGCAAGUCAGGGGUGAAAGCCCACGGCUCAACCGUGGAAGCGCCUUUGAUACUGCCGGUCUCGAGGGAGGUAGGGGCGUGCGGAACUUCCGGUGGAGCGGUGAAAUGCGUAGAUAUCGGAAGGAACACCGGUGGCGAAAGCGGCGCGCUGGACCUCUUCUGACGCUGAGGCGCGAAAGCCAGGGUAGCGAACGGG